GGCUCAAAUUUGAAAUACAGUAAAUUGGUAGGGUCAGCGAUACUACUAAUCUACUCUACUUCAAAUUUGGGCCC
rfam:Haemonchus contortus, ISE/inbred ISE, WGS project CAVP01000000 data, contig: Hcontortus_22238